GAUGAACGCUGGCGGCGUGCCUAAUACAUGCAAGUCGAGCGAACGGACGAGAAGCUUGCUUCUCUGAUGUUAGCGGCGGACGGGUGAGUAACACGUGGAUAACCUACCUAUAAGACUGGGAUAACUUCGGGAAACCGGAGCUAAUACCGGAUGAUAUUUUGAACCCAUGGUUCAAAAGUGGAAGACGGUCUUGCUGUCACUUAUAGAUGGAUCCGCGCUGCAUUAGCUAGUUGGUAAGGUAACGGCUUACCAAGGCAACGAUGCAUAGCCGACCUGAGAGGGUGAUCGGCCACACUGGAACUGAGACACGGUCCAGACUCCUACGGGAGGCAGCAGUAGGGAAUCUUCCGCAAUGGGCGAAAGCCUGACGGAGCAAUGCCGCGUGAGUGAUGAAGGUCUUCGGAUCGUAAAACUCUGUUAUUAGGGAAGAACAUAUGUGUAAGUAACUGUGCACAUCUUGACGGUACCUAAUCAGAAAGCCACGGCUAACUACGUG
rnacentral:rRNA from 1 species